CCGUUUGUUUACCAUUUGCAGUACCAAUGUUUUCCUGCACAAAUUCACUUUCUUUGCUAUAACCACUUUCCAAGGAGUCAGCACCGUUUACAAGUGGUUUUUCACUGUUUGUGUCAUCUACAAAUGUCUGGACAGUGUUUAUUGUGCAAAGUAACAUACGGAAAAAAAAUUUAUUUUGGGCCAGUUUUUGUGAUAAUAUUGUGCUAUGAUAGUUAUUGAAGACUACAUGUAUUGCCCCACUGGUUGAAUCAAAUACUGUUAUGCACAAUAUUGUGAAACUCUUUGCCUAUAUCAUCCACUGGUGCCAGAGAGAUCUUAGUGUUCUUGUUGUAUGUGAAUGUGACUGGUGGGGAAGGUUGAGAGGACCAGUCUUGCUCACAGAACUUCAAUGACGUUCACAAUUAGCAACUUGGUCCCCAGAACUGAUUAUGAC